rnacentral:siRNA from 1 species
AUGAAGGGAGAUGGUUCGUAUUGU